rnacentral:rRNA from 1 species
AACGGCGAGUGAAGCGGCAAAAGCUCAAAUUUGAAAUCUGGCUCCUUAGGGGUCCGAGUUGUAAUUUGUAGAGGAUGCUUCGGGUGUGGCCACCGUCUAAGUUCCUUGGAACAGGACGUCAUAGAGGGUGAGAAUCCCGUCUUGGGCGGGUGGCCCACGCCCGUGUGAAGCUCCUUCGACGAGUCGAGUUGUUUGGGAAUGCAGCUCUAAGCGGGUGGUAAAUUUCAUCUAAAGCUAAAUAUUGGCCGGAGACCGAUAGCGCACAAGUAGAGUGAUCGAAAGGUUAAAAGCACCUUGAAAAGGGAGUUAAACAGCACGUGAAAUUGUUGAAAGGGAAGCGCUUGCGGCCAGACUCGGGCGCGAGGUUCAGCGGGUGCGUGUCACCCGUGCACUCCUCGCCGCCCGGGCCAGCAUCAGUUCCAACGGCCGGUCAAAGGCCCCCGGAAUGUGUCGUCUCUCGGGACGUCUUAUAGCCGGGGGUGCAAUGCGGCCCGUCGGGACUGAGGAACGCGCUUCGGCUCGGAUGCUGGCGUAAUGGCCGUAAGCGGCCCGUCUUGAAACACGGACCAAGGAGUCUAACAUCCACGCGAGUGUUCGGGUGUCAAACCCGUGCGCGCAGUGAAAGCGAACGGAGGUGGGAGCCUUAGGGCGCACCAUCGACCGAUCCUGAAGUCUUCGGAUGGAUUUGAGUAGGAGCGUGGCCGUUGGGACCCGAAAGAUGGUGAACUAUGCCUGAAUAGGGUGAAGCCAGAGGAAACUCUGGUGGAGGCUCGCAGCGGUUCUGACGUGCAAAUCGAUCGUCAAAUUU